rnacentral:rRNA from 2 species
AAACUAACCAGGAUUCCCCUAGUAACGGCGAGUGAAGCGGGAUGAGCUCAAGCUUAAAAUCUCUGUGCCAGUUUGGCAUGGCGAAUUGUAGUCUAUAGAGGCGUUGUCAGUGCGGCUGUGCGGGGUAAGUUCCUUGGAAGAGGACAGCAUCGAGGGUGAUACUCCCGUUUGUACCUGUGCGGCUUGCGCGUACGACACGUUUUCUUCGAGUCGCGUUGUUUGGGACUGCAGCGCAAAGUAGGUGGUAAAUUCCAUCUAAAGCUAAAUAUUGGUGCGAGACCGAUAGCGAACAAGUACCGUGAGGGAAAGAUGAAAAGAACUUUGAAAAGAGAGUUAAAGAGUACCUGAAACUGCUGAAAGGGAAGCGAAUCGUAUCCAGUGUCUAUAAUCUGCGGCAUAUUUCAUUGGCGGCUUUGUGCGUGCUAUUGUUUCGGAAGCGGCUUUUGUUGCUCUGUGCUUUGGUGUUGCGCGUUGCUGCUGGUGCCCUGUGUUGCGGUGGGACGUCAGAGUCAGUUCGUAUGCUGCGGGAAAUGGCUGCCGAGGAGGUAGGUCAGGACUUUUGUCUUGGCUGUUAUAUCUUGGUGGUUUGUUGUCGUGGUUGGGACUGAGGUGCCUACAAUGUGCUUUUGAGUAUGCUGGGUUCUCAUUUGGUGGACUGUUUGGAUAGCUUGCUAUGCUUGUGGUUUUUUCAUCGAGUGAUUGAGUCUGGUGGUAACUUAUUGCCGUUCGGGACUUUGACGAAAUGGAGCGAUUCGGC